GACUUGAAGAAAUAAUCCUUGAAGGACUUCAACAGCUGUCAGAUGUCUCUUUAGGUGCCGUGGAUGCCUUCCCACAGCUGAUGCAGCUGCAAAUACAAGGCUGUUGUAUUGACCAAUUACCAGAAUGGUUCGCUUCACUCACAACAUUGAGAACUCUGAGAUUAAUUUUUUUGGGGAAGUUGGAUGUGAUACCCGAUGGUGUUGCAAGGCUUCCUCUGCUAAGAAGGCUUGAUCUGCAAGGUUGCGAGAAGAUCCGCGUGUUACCCUUUGCAGAUUCUGAGGACAGCUCCUUCUAUCCAUCCCUGAAGUACUUACGCUUAUGCAACACAUCCGUCUCUCGAAAGCACCUCUCGCAACGCCUUCGAAAAAUUGCAGAGUUACGUUUUUUAGAAGAUGAGGACCUCUGCAAUAACCAAAUCUCAAAUUAACGAAGCUUUGGAACAACAUUGUGCAAACCUGCGAAGGGUAACAAUCUGCAAAGAGUCCAUCUUUCAUGAUCAGUGUCAUGUUGGCAGUACUCCAGUUCAACCUGGAAAACGAACACACAGAAUCAUAGUAAACCUCGUUUUACCUCGAGCAAACAAACCAGCACCCCAUCUUAAGAGUGCUCCACCGGGAAAGAAGAGCAUCUCGCCCGCGAUCUGACGAAGCCGAGCGUGGUAUUCCCCGAGGAAUCCACCG
rnacentral:lncRNA from 1 species